CGGCAAACGGGUGCGGAACACGUACGCAACUUUCCCAAAACUGGUGAAUAGCCUUCCGAAAGGGAGAUUAAUACACCGUAAGAUGUAGGAGUGGCAUCACUCUUAUAUUAUAGCUCCGGCGGUUUUGGAUGGGCGUGCGGCUGAUUAGGUAGUUGGCGGGGUAACGGCCCACCAAGCCAGCGAUCAGUAACUGGUGUGAGAGCACGACCAGUCACACGGGCACUGAGACACGGGCCCGACUCCUACGGGAGGCAGCAGUAAGGAAUAUUGGUCAAUGGACGCAAGUCUGAACCAGCCAUGCCGCGUGAAGGAUGACGGCCCUCUGGGUUGUAAACUUCUUUUAUAGGGGACGAAAAAAGGGCUUUCUAGCUCGUCUGACGGUACCCUAGGAAUAAGCACCGGCUAACUCCGUGCCAGCAGCCGCGGUAAUACGGAGGGUGCAAGCGUUAUCCGGAUUUACUGGGUUUAAAGGGUGCGUAGGUGGGUCGGUAAGUCAGCGGUGAAAUCUUCGAGCUUAACUCGGAAACUGCCAUUGAUACUAUCGAUCUUGAAUCAUCUGGAGGUAAGCGGAAUAUGUCAUGUAGCGGUGAAAUGCUUAGAUAUGACAUAGAACACCAAUUGCGAAGGCAGCUUACUACGGAUGUAUU
rnacentral:rRNA from 1 species